CUCUUAUAUUAUAUUAUGGUGAGUGACUGUUAGAUAGCUAUUAAAUUGAUAAAGGAGAGCAAGAUGAAUCUUUCUUCUUCUAUGCUUAUUAAAAAGAUCAACUAAGGAAUAAGAUACAUUCAGAUUUUAAGUCUAUUUUUCAGGCCGGAGUUGAUCCUAAUAAAUAUUCCUGAAUUUUUUUUUUGGUAAACUCUGCUCGGGCGAUGCACGCAUCUAAUAUCUAAUAUGAACAGUCCGGCUUUCCUUUUCUUUCCUUUAAACCAUUCAACUUUCGUUAAGAGACACUGAUGCAAGUUCAAAAACGGGGCCGCUUCUCAGUGAUGAAAGGUAAAUCCGCUUCUCUGGGUGACGCCGUUGUGACUCGUUCGCUGAUGGAGGUUAUCUCCUCGACCCUUUUUUAUGAGAUUUGCUGACAAAGAUAAAUUUUCAUCGUAUCUCAAGAAAUGGCAAACGCUGCUGCUCAUCAUCAAUGCUUCCCUUGAAAAUGCUGAAGGAAAGCAAACCUCGAGCCGCUUACUGGAGCUGUGGCUUAGUGAUUUAAGAGACGUUGCUUACGACGCUGAGGAUAUCAUCGACGAGCUCACCACAGAGGCUCGGCGUCGCCAAAUAACGGAAGAUCCGGACGCCGCUUCGCCCACCUGCAAGGAUAUUAUGUGUAUAUAUAGGGAUUCAGCUUCGCAAAAAUAAAUAUGAAGCAUUUUUCACAAUUCUCAAAAAACUUCACCAUGGAUUUUCUAAAACCAUCUAUUGGGAUCGAGGUUGGGAUCAUUCUCAUUAUUCAAGCCAUUGAUAGUGACUCAGGAGAAAGUUAUGCUGCUAAUGCAUUUGCAAUUUGGAUCUGGCGCAGAGAAAAAUCAACAGCCUUAUCUUGCAGCUGUUGCUGAAUUAUUGGACUACCAGUUGUUUGUGGCCCUUCUUAGAACAUGGAAAUGAGCAAGUCUUAGCCACUCUUUUGAAAUAUCUGAGAAAGAUCCUUUUCUUGGCUUAACUAUAUUGAGCAUGAGAGGACUCAGGGAAGCUUAUAACUGUGAAGACAUGAUUAAUGAAGUCUUUUAGAACUCUCUAAGAUCAAAGACAACACUUACGAAGUCCAGUCAUGAAUAUUUUUGUUAAGAGUUGUGUGUUUGCAUGUCUCGUAGGAAAUGAGCCUGUUACAUUUCCCUUUUUAAUGGUAAAAGAAUGAGCCUUUUACAUUUUCAUUGUAGCUAUACACAUUUAUAAUUUGUCAUUUACUGAAAACAA